AUUGAACGCUGGCGGCAUGCUUUACACAUGCAAGUCGAACGGCAGCGCGGGCUUCGGCCUGGCGGCGAGUGGCGAACGGGUGAGUAAUGCAUCGGAACGUGCCCAGUAGUGGGGGAUAGCCCGGCGAAAGCCGGAUUAAUACCGCAUACGACCUGAGGGUGAAAGCGGGGGACCGAAAGGCCUCGCGCUAUUGGAGCGGCCGAUGUCGGAUUAGCUAGUUGGUGGGGUAAAGGCUUACCAAGGCGACGAUCCGUAGCUGGCCUGAGAGGACGACCAGCCACACUGGGACUGAGACACGGCCCAGACUCCUACGGGAGGCAGCAGUGGGGAAUUUUGGACAAUGGGGGCAACCCUGAUCCAGCCAUGCCGCGUGCGGGAAGAAGGCCUUCGGGUUGUAAACCGCUUUUGUUCGGGAAGAAAUCCUCUGGGCUAAUACCCCGGGGGGAUGACGGUACCGGAAGAAUAAGCACCGGCUAACUACGU
rnacentral:rRNA from 1 species